UACGGGGGAGCAAGCGUUGUUCGGAUUUACUGGGCGUUAAAGGGCGCGUAGGCGGUCAGCACAAGUCAGUUGUGAAAUCUCCGGGCUUAACUCGGAAAGGUCAACUGAUACUGUGCGACUAGAGUGCAGAAGGGGCAACUGGAAUUCUCGGUGUAGCGGUGAAAUGCGUAGAUAUCGAGAGGAACACCUGCGGCGAAGGCGGGUAGCUGGGCCGACACUGACGCUGAUGCGCGAAAGCCAGGGAGCGAACGGG
rnacentral:rRNA from 1 species